AUGAUGGAGUCCCCUUCAUGCCCCGCUCUGCAGUGCUUCCUGGCUGAGGCCAGGGCAGACCACCCCCUGGAGAGAGGGAUUCAGGAGCUGAGCCUGGGAGACCAAGAUGCCCCAUCCAACUUCUACCAGGCAUCCGUUCAUCAGAGGCUUGGGAUCUCUCUCACCAGACCUGGGAACAGUGAACUGGAAGAGAGACCAGCUUCUCCAAAGUCCCUGAACCUCCCUGCCUUGGAAUCAACGUCAAGAGACGGUGGUUCCCCCCUCACUGUGGAAAGUGACAUGGACCUCACGGCCAAUCUGCUGCCCUCUGGUGGGAUGCACUCCCAUCAGCUCACCUUUCGGACCCCAGUUACUGAGAGCAUUCUUGGCCCACAUUUGCCCAAUCCCUCACUUCCUGGGAGCCCUACUUCACAGGCCCAGGAUAAGGAAGAGGUCAGCUCAUGCCCCUUUGGGUCUAAGGCCCUGAGCCUCACAUCUACUUUACCCUUCAGCUUGGGUACCAGCCGGUCCAUCUUCUUGGAACCCCAGAAGCCGUUGAGGGGAGACCCUGCACCUGAGAAAUGCUGGGGUCAGGCACACCUGUGGGCAGGGACUCCCAGUCUGAACACAAACUCUAGACUAGGUCCUGUGCCUACCACUCUGCCCUGGGUUCGGGAUAAACCCUGGACCUUGCCUACUGACUCCUCUAUGUUGCAGAGGGAGAUACCUGAGGCUCCUAGGGCCCCUUCCAUUCCUGUGGAAAUGAUGGUCAGCAAAGAUCCAACAGGAAUAACCCCUAGGGGGCAGGGAGAGCCCUUGGACUUAGGGGCUGAGCUCCAGGGAAGGGAGCAGGAGGGGGUAUCCUCAGAGGGACCUGGAGAGGAUGAGGAUAGACCAGUGGACAGUAGGGCCAGUUUAAGUGGGGGAGACUGCAAGAGGGACAGUCAAAAGCUAAAACUGGGUCAGGAGCAUUGGGUCAGUUCCCUGAAGCCCUCUGUGGAAGAUAGCUAUGGGCGCCAAGUAAGGGAGGCAGGCUGCAUGCUUCUGGAAUGGUUUCGAUGCCUCUUCCUGGACAGUGACAAUCACAGUUUCUCCUUGCUCGACUCUGGCCUGGCCUUGACCACUGGUGGCCUUACCGUGAAUGCUGGCAGCCAGGAACACCCUGCUCUGCGUGUGGCCUUCCUAACUAUGAGGAAUGGCAGGAAGCUAGGCAUGGCAUUCCCUGGUUCCAACCUCUUCUACUACUACUCCCUGGGCCGUAACUUCUUUGUCACUGCUCAGCUCAGCAGCCACUGGUUCCGAGUUCGAGACCGUGUUACUGGUGAGCAGAUGCUGAUGAAGAAGGUGCCUGUGGUCUCCGAUUGGCAGAAGAUGCUUCAUCACUUCCUCUUCCUUCCACCGGGGCCGGGACUGCUGGUACCCUACGCAGUCCUCUAUGACCGCCAGGGCUCCCUGCUCUACCUUAUGGAGGACCCUGGAGUUCUAACUGUGGGGUGGCCACCAGCAGGUCAUCGGCUGGACAGACUGAAGUGCCUCCUGGAGAUUCUCAGGUUCCUACAGUUCUGCCAGCAGCACGGCUUGCAGCUUGAGGAAGUGGACUCAGGCCUGCUUUACACCCACCAGGGAAUCUGUUUUGACCCCAGUGGACUUGGCAGCAAUGAAGGACCUUAUGUUUUUAGAAAGACUUUGAGAAAUGCACUCCGGCUGGCGUGGAACACCCCACAGGACACCCCUGCAGCGGAAGCCCUGUUGGAACAGAUGUGGAGGUGGUUGGAGGAAGACAUCAGGGGCGAUGAAGAGGACCUGGAGGAGGCCAGGACUUCUUCUCUUGACCACCCUGGCAUCCCAUGAACGGAGGCCCCUGACACACCUCAGGGAACAGCGGGACACAGCACUUUAUAGCAGCAAAGCACUCUGACCUCGUAAAGUCAGAGUUGUCUCUCCAGAUUGUUUUUCACUGCCCAUUUCAUGGAUGGGAGACAGCUUACUCUCAGGUCACCCCGGCUGGCCUGGGGCUACUCCAACGUGAAACAUAAGCAUCCUGAUUCCAGGCAUACCCAGGGACCAGCUCCUGUUUUCUUCCUGAUCUGCCUUAUGGGGGGAGAACGCUGGGUCACUCUCAGGACUUUGCCCAGGGACAUGCUGGUCACAUCUUUACUCUCAAGGAACCCCAGUGCUCACAUGCUGAGCACCCCAGCUCAGACUUCCUCACCUCAGGGUUAAGGUCCUGGGUUCUCCACCCCAGUGGCUCCCUGCUCCAAGAACUUGGAGGAGAGGGCUACUUGCCCUACCCCAAGAUACACAGGUAGGCUGGGAUCUCCUCAGCCCCUCACAGAAGUGCCCGUGGUAGGCAGGCCACCAGGGUUUUCCGGAAGAGAAGGGAACAUAGCUGGGGGCCACCAUGGUGCUGUUUUUAUUUGGAAAAUAAAUUCCCAUGGAAAACACUGCCCCUCUUCUUU
ensembl:lncRNA